AGAGUUUGAUCCUGGCUCAGGAUGAACUCUAGCUACAGGCUUAACACAUGCAAGUCGAGGGGAAACGACAUCGAAAGCUUGCUUUUGAUGGGCGUCGACCGGCGCACGGGUGAGUAACGCGUAUCCAACCUGCCCACCACUUGGGGAUAACCUUGCGAAAGUAAGACUAAUACCCAAUGAUAUCUCUAGAAGACAUCUGAAAGAGAUUAAAGAUUUAUCGGUGAUGGAUGGGGAUGCGUCUGAUUAGCUUGUUGGCGGGGUAACGGCCCACCAAGGCUACGAUCAGUAGGGGUUCUGAGAGGAAGGUCCCCCACAUUGGAACUGAGACACGGUCCAAACUCCUACGGGAGGCAGCAGUGAGGAAUAUUGGUCAAUGGACGAGAGUCUGAACCAGCCAAGUAGCGUGCAGGAUGACGGCCCUAUGGGUUGUAAACUGCUUUUAUAAGGGAAUAAAGUGAGUCUCGUGAGACUUUUUGCAUGUACCUUAUGAAUAAGGACCGGCUAAUUCCGUGCCAGCAGCCGCGGUAAUACGGAAGGUCCGGGCGUUAUCCGGAUUUAUUGGGUUUAAAGGGAGCGUAGGCCGGAGAUUAAGCGUGUUGUGAAAUGUAGAUGCUCAACAUCUGCACUGCAGCGCGAACUGGUUUCCUUGAGUACGCACAAAGUGGGCGGAAUUCGUGGUGUAGCGGUGAAAUGCUUAGAUAUCACGAAGAACUCCGAUUGCGAAGGCAGCUCACUGGAGCGCAACUGACGCUGAAGCUCGAAAGUGCGGGUAUCGAACAGGAUUAGAUACCCUGGUAGUCCGCACGGUAAAC
rnacentral:rRNA from 1 species